rnacentral:miRNA from 1 species
GGCAUUUGGGAUUACAGCG